CUACGGGUGGCUGCAGUGGGGAAUAUUGCACAAUGGAGGAAACUCUGAUGCAGCAACGCCGCGUGGAGGAUGACGCAUUUCGGUGUGUAAACUCCUUUUAUAUGUCAAGAAAAUGACGGUAGCAUAUGAAUAAGCACCGGCUAACUCCGUGCCAGCAGCCGCGGUAAUACGGAGGGUGCAAGCGUUACUCGGAAUCACUGGGCGUAAAGGACGCGUAGGCGGGUUGGAAAGUCAGGUGUGAAAUCCUACAACUUAACUGUAGAACUGCACUUGAAACUUCUAAUCUAGAGUAUGGGAGGAGGAGAUGGAAUUAGUGGUGUAGGGGUAAAAUCCGUAGAUAUCACUAGGAAUACCUAAAGCGAAGGCGAUCUCCUGGAACAUUACUGACGCUAAGGCGUGAAAGCGUGGGGAGCAAACAGGAUUAGAUACCCCGGUAGUC
rnacentral:rRNA from 1 species